UUACAGAAACUUAGGCGUAUCUGUGUGCUCCUCAGCCAGUGACAUUGGGGCAGUUGUUGCUCUGUUUAUUCUGUACAGGUUAGCUAGUAUUUGGCAAGAGCUUCCCCUCUUUGUCUGUGGGGCCAUGUCAGUUCUGUACAGUGGACUUGUGAUGCUUUUACCAGAAAUGAGAGGUGUUGAUCUGCCAGAAACUGUGGAUGAUGUGGAAAAUAUGAGAAGCAGGCGCAAACACAAGGAAAAAGAUGGGCCUCAGUUUCCUGAAAUAAACAUUGUUCCAAUGAAAGCAACUGAGAGAACAUCCUAGAAAUGAUUUCAUUUCAUACAUAAAUGUAAUCAGAACAUUUAUGGUUGAUAGCAUCACCAUGUACUGUAAUAUCAGCGUA